GAGCGGACACUUGCUAUCAGUCUUCCAAUCAACUUCGAGAAGUUUCGCAUUUCGAGAAAUAUUUCAUAAUGGGGCACAUUUCCAACAAAUUUGUAAUAAGUCUUGCUAUAAUCAUGGCGAUCCUGACAACUGUAUACUCCGGAGGAUCAGGCCAUGGGCACACUCAACGUCUAAAGGAUGCCGCCAUUGGGACAAACAGCACAUCGCCGAAAGAGUGCAUUCCUCUGGGCCGAAUUUGCAGCUGUGCAAGCGCCACAUGGAGUCCGUACGGAGAAUGUUGUGGGGGGAAUAAAU